GCUGCUCCUGGAGGCAUUAGAGAUGUGGCUUCUGUGUCACAUGUGCAUCAGUAGGUGGCAGAGAGGAGAGAGGCUGUGUCUGUGCUCAGUGUUCUGACCUAUGAACAUCUGUUUAUUAGUAGCCUAACAUU